rnacentral:lncRNA from 1 species
CCAAGUCUCUCCCCAGUUUACCCUAACAUGCGAGUUGAAGUUUUCCCUCCUGUGCGGUGGAGGUAAAGCUUAUUUCCCGCUGGCCCUGUGGAAAAUGCAGGGAGCAGGGACCAUUCCCGAAAUCCCCACUCAGCACCAACCACGGAAGGAGCAGCACACACUUACUUCUCUGUGCAGUUGGAAGAUGCAAAAUGGAAGCUCAGUGUUCGAUGGUUCAUCCAAGGAGAGUUUGCCUCAACAGAACGUAAGCCCAAGCAGGCCCGUACCGAGAACUCAAUAGACACAAGCAUGGGAGGAAUGAGGGACUCCGGAGGCAAACGUUGGUGGAGGCGCUUGGACGAGGCACUGCAGCCAGCAGCGAGCCAGGGAAGGCUCCGAGCAGAAGAGGGGCCUGAGGGAAGGCACACAGGGGCGCUCAGAGGGAGCCCAGAGUCAGACACAGGAAAAAACCAGCUCAGCCCAGCCUUCUGUUAUUCAACCCCUCCAUGCUCUGUGGGAAGAGGGUACACAGAAUCCCUGAAUUCAGUCAUUAAUAGCAGAUGCAGAGACCUUUCUAACUUGGAGGCUUAGAUGUCAAAUACAUGGUUUUAACGAAAGUGAAGUCAAUUAGUAUGUUCUUGUGUCUUACUCAACUUGUGUGUGCGCAAGCUUGUGUUAUUAACCUGUUGAGAAAGCCACAGGCGCUGAAGAACCAGAGAAGCGCCGGGGCUCCCAGGGGCUCUCUUUGGAGCCUUCAGUGCCCUGGACAGUGAAACAGCCUCCAUCUCUUUCACAGUUGGUGCUGUACUAGG